UACGUAGGUGGCAAGCGUUGUCCGGAAUUAUUGGGCGUAAAGCGCGCGCAGGUGGUUCCUUAAGUCUGAUGUGAAAGCCCACGGCUCAACCGUGGAGGGUCAUUGGAAACUGGGGAACUUGAGUGCAGAAGAGGAAAGUGGAAUUCCAAGUGUAGCGGUGAAAUGCGUAGAUAUCUGGAGGAACACCGGUGGCGAAGGCGGCAUUCUGGACCUAACUGACACUG
rnacentral:rRNA from 1 species